AGCUUGGAAAAGGAUCCUCAAUGGAUUGCACAACAAUCUUUUUGCAGCAUCAGAGGCAGGACGGGGCAGAGAAGGAGGUGGAUUAUUCUCCUCAGCACCAGCCUUUUGACAGCAUGAAUCCGGGGAAGGCCCAUCUGGAGGUGUGGCGUGACAAAGAUUGGCAGCGGCGGGCGGAGCAUGUCCUGUUUGCGGCAUCUGGUAUCUGGUUGCCAUGGUGAUGGUACACAAUGGAGGUGGACGUGCAUUGUGUCUAUGCGCAAUUACGUAAUUUGUGUGGACGCCGCUGUCAUUCUGGCGCGAAUGGCGAACUCGCAUUCACUCGUGACGGGUACAAGUAUGGGUGAUGGUGGUUAUGGCUGCUACUCUUGGCUCCUUACUCCAUUGUCCCAACCUGAUUCUCCUGCUGAACACAAUUAUAAUAAUGCACAUAAGUCCACGCGGAAUGUGAUAGAAAGAUGUUUUGGGGUGCUGAAAUCUAGGUUUCGGUGUCUGGAUAAGUCUGCAGGGCUUUUGUUGUAUAGUCCCUCAAAGGUGACUAGGAUUGUAUUCUGCUGCUGUUUUCUUCAUAACAUGUGUUUGCGCCAACAUCUGCCACAUGUUGUUGAUGAAGAAAACAGUCAGCAAGUAGGUGAGUUAGAAACAUCUGGCGACAGUAUGAGUACAGAUGUAGGGAGGCAGGUAAGGCAAGAAGUGAUUCUGCGUUAUUUUAACGGUAAGUAUUAUUUAGUCAUAAAUAACCUUGCCUAACCACUAUUAUAAAAUGUUUUA